UAACAUACUACCCWGAUUUCAAACAGCGUCACUUGAUGAGGUGCAGUUUUGCUCGUAUUGUUACCCAACAAAUAAACUGAACCAGCGAAAACCAACGAGAACCGAGGAUUGGAAAGGACUGAAUACAUAAGAAGAACCAAAAUAUAAGUACCAUAUAGUUCUUGUGAUGGAUGAAGCCAGUGCCGCGGCACUUUCCUGUGCRGUCAUAGCUCUAGUCGUGCUCAUCGUGGGCGCCAUCUUGACAUUCCGUAAAUAUUGGAUGGAAGCUGGRCGUCGGAGAGCUGAAAAUSAGGGUUUAGAAAAUCCACCAGAAAUUAAUGAAGCCACCAACGUGCUUCCUGGUGCCCCGCUGCAGAGUUUUGACAACCCUGUCAUGAAUGAUUGUGAACAUGCAAGCGAUACACADGGAACUAUAAACGGUGACGUGCCUUCGGUAGUAAUCAAGGAAGUGUCCACUACUUCAUUGUAGACAUUAUCUCAAAUAACCAUUCAAGUAGAUUCACUCUUUUCCCGAGUUGUUCAAAUUAUCCUUUAUCAAAUUCAGGAACUUUGAUUGGUACAGUGAUUUCGCCGUUAUUCCCGUUACCGCAACACCCAAAUUGAAAGUAUUUGUUGUAUAAAAGUUUGAAAAGACUUAUAUUACUGAAUAAGACAUAAACGCUUUGGAAGACGCAAGGGAUGCAUGGCUGUMUUAACGUUUAACGCAAGUCAAGACGUUACCUAAUAUGAAAASUGAUGUCACUAGAGUAUAGAGCUAUUGCGCUCCGCGCGACAAGUAAUAUUUUUUGAAUUGAACAUUUUCUAUUGCCAAAUAGACUGAGUAGUUGCACAUAACCCAUGAAAUAGCUGGCAGGUGUGCUAUGACGUACUCUACAUGGUACUAGUUAAAAGCCAGUAUCACCUGAGUAACUGUUUCACGGUAUAAAAAAGCAAUUUCUAGUUGCCAACAAGUAUAUUUUUUGUAUUAUUUGGAGUGGGUUGAUUAUAUUCUCUAAGGCGUUUUCAGUAUUUCCGAGUGUUUCCUGAUUCCGAGAAAUAUACUCUAACGUACUAUAUAUUACUCUGACUGCCUUUGUUUUGUUCGGUUAAGCGCACUUUCCAAGAGUAUAUUUCACAGAUUUUUGAAAAUCUUUCGAGUAUAGAUCUUUUACAUUUAACAUAUUACCAUUCACCGAUACUCUUUUCCGACCAUGAAAGUUCUCAUUUCAAAGUUACACUAAAGCAUCCUUUGUUAUAAGCGGUAUUUUUGUGUACUUGCUUCUAAUUUUAUAGUUUUUUAGCUUUCAGAAAUAGAAUAAACAAUUAGAAGAAAACAAAAAGCAUGUGUAAAACGGCCAGCUACAUUAACUGGAUCAAAACAAACUUUUUUCUCGUUUAAUUCACGAUUAUUCAUUCUUUCACUUUCUUUAGUUUCUUUUGUACAUGUAUAUAACGAAAAAUGAAUAAAAGUUCGA